GACGAACGCUGGCGGCGUGCCUAAUACAUGCAAGUUGAGCGCUGAAGGUUGGUACUUGUACCAACUGGAUGAGCAGCGAACGGGUGAGUAACGCGUGGGGAAUCUGCCUUUGAGCGGGGGACAACAUUUGGAAACGAAUGCUAAUACCGCAUAAAAACUUUAAACACAAGUUUUAAGUUUGAAAGAUGCAAUUGCAUCACUCAAAGAUGAUCCCGCGUUGUAUUAGCUAGUUGGUGAGGUAAAGGCUCACCAAGGCGAUGAUACAUAGCCGACCUGAGAGGGUGAUCGGCCACGUUGGGACUGGGACACGGCCCAAACUCCUGCGGGAGGCAGCAGUAGGGAAUCUUCGGCAAUGGACGAAAGUCUGACCGAGCAACGACGCGUGAGAGACGAAGGCUUUAGGAUCGUAAAACUCUGUUGGUAGAGAAGAACGUUGGUGAGAGUGGAAAGCUCAUCAAGUGACGGUACCUACACAGAAAGGGACGGCUAACUACGUG
rnacentral:rRNA from 1 species